rnacentral:rRNA from 1 species
GCUCAACUGAGGAAUGGCUUUGGAAACUGGAUGACUUGAGUGCAGUAGAGGAAAGUGGAACUCCAUGUGUAGCGGUGAAAUGCGUAGAUAUAUGGAAGAACACCAGUGGCGAAGGCGGCUUUCUGGACUGUAACUGACGUUGAGGCUCGAAAGUGUGGGUAGCAAACAGGAUUAGAUACCCUGGUAGUCCACACCGUAAACGAUGAGUGCUAGAUGUUCGAGGGUUUCCGCCCUUGAGUGUCGCAGCUAACGCAUUAAGCACUCCGCCUGGGGAGUACGACCGCAAGGUUGAAACUCAAAGGAAUUGGCGGGGACCCGCACAAGCGGUGGAGCAUGUGGUUUAAUUCGAAGCAACGCGAAGAACCUUACCAGGUCUUGACAUCCCUUGCUAAUCCUAGAAAUAGGACGUUCCCUUCGGGGACAAGGUGACAGGUGGUGCAUGGUUGUCGUCAGCUCGUGUCGUGAGAUGUUGGGUUAAGUCCCGCAACGAGCGUAACCCUUAUUAUUAGUUGCCAGCGUUUAGUUGGGCACUCUAGUGAGACUGCCGGUGACAAACCGGAGGAAGGUGGGGAUGACGUCAAAUCAUCAUGCCCCUUAUGACCUGGGGCUACACACGUGCUACAAUGGCAUAUACAACG